rnacentral:rRNA from 1 species
UACGUAGGGGGCAAGCGUUGUCCGGAAUUAUUGGGCGUAAAGGGCGCGCAGGCGGCCCGGAAAGUCGGAUGUGAAAACUCGAGGCUCAACCUCGAGCGUGCACCCGAUACUGCCGGGCUUGAGGCAGGUAGGGGAGAUCGGAAUUCCUGGUGUAGCGGUGAAAUGCGCAGAUAUCAGGAGGAACACCGGUGGCGAAGGCGGCCAACUGGACGAAUACUGACGCUGAGACACGAAAGCGUGGGGAGCAAACAGG